rnacentral:hammerhead_ribozyme from 1 species
GCACUGCUGAAGAGUCCAAAACUAGGACGAAACAGUUGUCCAGUUC